rnacentral:rRNA from 1 species
GAUGAACGCUAGCGGGAGGCCUAACACAUGCAAGCCGAGCGGUAUUUAUUCUUCGGGAGAGAGAGAGCGGCGUACGGGUGCGGAACACGUGUGCAACCUGCCUUUAUCUAGAGGAUAGCCUUUCGAAAGGAAGAUUAAUACUCUAUAAUAUAUUAAUUGGCAUCAAUUGAUAUUGAAAACUCCGGUGGAUAGAGAUGGGCACGCGCAAGAUUAGCUAGUUGGUGAGGUAACGGCUCACCAAGGCAAUGAUCUUUAGGGGGCCUGAGAGUGUGAUCCCCCACACUGGUACUGAGACACGGACCAGACUCCUACGGGAGGCAGCAGUGAGGAAUAUUGGUCAAUGGGUGCAAGCCUGAACCAGCCAUCCCGCGUGAAGGAUUAAAGUCCUAUGGAUCGUAAACUUCUUUUGUAUAGGGAUAAACCUACCCUCGUGAGGGUAGCUGAAGGUACUAUACGAAUAAGCACCGGCUAACUCCGUGCCAGCCGCCGCAGUAA